AGAUCAUGGUGUGGGCGUUUCCUUAGUAGGCCAUUGUAUCUCUUCCAUGCCUCAUAAAGUGACUCUCUAGCUUGUUGUUCAAAAUUAGCUAUGGCCUUCUUCAACUU